UGGGUAACCUGCCUCAAAGAGGGGAAUAGCCUCCCGAAAGGGAGAUUAAUACCGCAUAAUAUGUUUAAGUCGCAUGACUUUAACAUCAAAGGAUUUUCUUUUAGAACUUCCACUUUGAGAUGGACCCGCGGCGCAUUAGCUAGUUGGUGAGGUAACGGCUCACCAAGGCAACGAUGCGUAGCCGACCUGAGAGGGUGAUCGGCCACAUUAGAACUGAGACACGGUCCAGCUCCUAGGAG
rnacentral:rRNA from 1 species